GGCCCCAUCGUCUAUCGGUUAGGACAUUAGGUUUUCAUCCUAAAAAGAGGGGUUCGACUCCCCUUGGGGCUA
rnacentral:tRNA from 1 species